rnacentral:lncRNA from 1 species
GAUGUCUUGCAUCGACAUCAGUGAUACACGGAGUGACUGAAUUGUCUGUGCUGAGGCAAAGAUGGUUUCUCGUGUUCUGAAGAAUCUUUCUUCUGUUUGGUCCAGGAUAACCAAGAAGGCAUCAAUGAUCUGUGAAUGAGGAAUGGAUAGUGCAAUACUGCCUGGUUAUAAUAUAGCAAUAUGUUGGCAGUGUUGCUGCAGUGAAUCUCAUAAUCUGGUAUUUAUUGCAAAGGCCACUCUUUCUAGAGGAUAUCCUGAAUUGCGCCCACAUGGCCUUGUUGCUCCCGGCACCAUCACUGACGACUUCUAUCACUACUGCAUUUUGCUUGAAAAGUUCAAGAAUAGCCUCGAGCACAAGCUUGGCAAGGACAUCACCUGGUGCAGCUCCUUUGGUGGCGAAGCUGGCGAUUGGCUGUACCCAGUUACUGAAUAAAGGCACAUACAUGAACACAAGGGCAUGGUCUGCAA